rnacentral:tRNA from 1 species
GCCGCGGUGGCGGAACUGGUAUACGCGCAGGACUCAAAAUCCUGUGUCCGCAAGGGCGUGCGGGUUCGAUUCCCGCCCGCGGCACCA